UUUUUGUCUUGUUCUUUGAUUUCAGGUUCCAAAUAUGGGAGAAGCUUCUUUUUCUCCAUUCUUUCCUUAUAUAUCUUUGGUUUAGCUUGGAACGUUUGAUGUUUUCUAUGCUUGCUCAAGUGCGCGUGUUGGGGAUUGGGGAGGGGCAAGCAAAAACAAAAGCAAAGUUGUGUAAGGUACUAACUAAAUCUGGCUUGGCAAGUAUUUUCGCCCG
rnacentral:misc_RNA from 1 species